rnacentral:rRNA from 1 species
CAGCCGCCGCGGGAAUACGUAGGUGGCAAGCGUUGUCCGGAAUUAUUGGGCGUAAAGCGCGCGCAGGUGGUUUAAUAAGUCUGAUGUGAAAGCCCCCGGCUCAACCGGGGAGGGUCAUUGGAAACUGGUUGACUUGAGUGCAGAAGAGGAGAGUGGAAUUCCAUGUGUAGCGGUGAAAUGCGUAGAUAUAUGGAGGAACACCAGUGGCGAAGGCGACUCUCUGGUCUGUAACUGACGCUGAGGCUCGAAAGCGUGGGUAGCAAACAGGAUUAGAUACCCCUGUAGUCCCUGUCUCUUAUAC